GCCCUGCUGGGUUCAUCCGGUUACUAAAGUUAUCUAUAACCCAAUAGGUCUCGGGUUCAAUUCCCGCGUAGGUCA
rnacentral:tRNA from 1 species